GAUGGAAAAAUACCUCGAAGAGGAAUUUAUACCGAGGACUGCUGACCCUUUGGUUUGGUGGGAACAAAGAAAGAAAUUGUAUCCGCAUCUAUAUUCUUACAGCCUUAAGCGACUAUGCCUUAUGGCUACAUCAGUUCCUUGCGAACGCCUAUUUUCAAGUGCUGGGGAAAUCAUCCGAAAAAGACGGAUGCUACUAAAACCUAAUAAAGUGGAAAAUCUAAUGUUCCUUCAUAGCAACAUGUAGAUGGAUCACAGAAAUCAAAUAAAUGCAUUAAAAUUACUAUAUUAUCUGUUUGUAAACUCUUUAUUAUUUCUUAUUAUUAUUAUGUAUAAGUGUUUUUGACAUAAAUUGAAUAAAUAAUAUUAAUUUUCAA